CUCAAAUUAAACAAAUUAGUUCAAUCAAAUUAACUUUUAUGAGUAUUUAGAACUUUAUUUUCUUUUGUGUUCACGAAACUGACACAUUUUAAGUAAUCUGGAUUGUUUCUCUUUUUUUUGAGUUGAAUGAACUUGUUUCUUUUAAUUUAGACAAACUUAAAUUUACCUGAAACUGGGCUGAGAUUUCUAUUUCCCAGUAUGCCAUGGCAAUCGAAAGGGAGAAUAAAUGCUAAAAUUAGGUAUUAUAUAAUGUUUUUUUUUUUUUUUGUGCAAGAUUAAUGUUAAGUGGGGUAUUUUAGUAGUGUUUAAUACUUUGCUAUCCCAAUUUACAAGAGUUUCUGUUAUGUGUUUUUUUUUUGGGAGGUUACCAUCAUGGUGACGAGUGGAGCAUGGGCUUAGUUUGAGAACAGGUAUUUCAUAAAUGUUCUAUAUUGCUGUACUCUUUCAGCAAUUGCUAUGCUAUGCUAUGCUAAUGUUAUCAAAGCAUUGUGUUACCAAUUAGCAUUUGUUGAAUUAGCUUGUUAUAGUUAGCUAAAUUUUCUCUGCUAAAAAAAAAAAAAGUUAAGAUGCUGGCCUCGUGGGCAGCGCACCGACGUAUUGCGCCAUUGCGCUACGGGCGACCCGAGUUUGAGUCCCGGCUCGCGGACCUUUCCCGAUCCUGUCCCCCUUCUCUUGCUCCCACUUUGCUUUUUGUCUGCUUACUGUCCUAUCAUAGUUAAGGCAAAAACACCAAAAAUAAAAUCUACAUAAGUUAAGAUUACAUGAUAAUUUUAAGUUUAAUGCAUAAAUUUACUUACUCAAAAAUUUAAAGUUAAGAGCAAUUAAAAUGUAGGAGUACAAAAUUGGUAUCUGCCAGUUCUGCUUACUUAAACUUUGAAUUUCUUAACUUAAAAAAAAUGAUGUAACUGAUUACCUCAAUUUUUUUGAGUUUUGCCAACUUAUUUAGGUUUACAGUGUUGACUUCCAAAAUCAUUUUUAGUCCAUACAAUGGAAGACAAUGAGACCCGAAAACAACCUUACUUUUUAUGUUUUUUAAAAAAGUAUAAAAGAUAAGAUAAAAUAAAUUCUCCAUUUAAAGGCUUAAAGCAAACCAGUGUAAAGUACAGGUUAAAGAUUCUGAAAAGAGUGAAAGAUAAGAAAGUUUUCUGCGAGAGAGAAGGCAGACGUGAGUCAGAGAGAGGGCUCUAUUUGUUCUAGGGUGCAUGAUCAAGCCUGUGCUAUUUCAGAACUCUUCAUCUCCACCUGAACUCAUAGCUCCUCUUCCACAGCAAGAAGCUUCAUUUUUUUGUUUCGUUAUCGGCCUGGGCAGGCUUCAUUCUCAUCACACAGGAGGAAGGAAUCUGAUUCGAGAAGCACAUAUUUUUUCUCCAAGCCUCAUUAAAGGGAGGGUGAAGCUACUUCACACUCCCUCUGCUGUUCACCCCUUCCGUCGCCAAAAACCCUCUCAUCUGAAAAAAUACUAGGAUGGAAGGAGAAGGAUAAGAUACGGCAGCGAUCGUGCCAGGCAGGAUGGAUCCGUCUGCCAAAAGGGGUCCAGCAUCAAAGAGACCCAUGAGGAGAACACUAACUCCUGCCAACAAAAGAUGGAGAUGGAGAAAGAGAGAGAGGGAGAUCUCUUUGAAAGUGCUUCCAGGUUCUACAUCAGAACACCGACUCAUUAUUGGCUGUCUAUGGAGGAAUCAAGCAGCUCUCGGAUUUCAUCAAAAAUAUUUUAAUUUGUGUUCAGAGGAUGAACGAAGGUCUUACGGGUGUGGAACGACAUAAGGGUGAGUAGUUAUUAAUGACAGAAUUUUCAUUUUUGGGUGAACUAACUCUUUAAGGUCUAAUUUUAAGUAUGUUUUGCAUAUUGCAUUUUGUAUGCAUGUUUUUUAUUCACUGGAAAUUUUUGGGAAGCAUGAUGACUGAACAGUAUUCCCAGGUACACAACAGUACAACCCAUUAAACAGACUGUACAUUGCAUUUUCAUUCACAUAGAAAUUAAAUAUGACAUCUAACCCUGACCAAAGUCCACUGUUAAUGAUGCAUUUUGCAUUUUUUUAGGUCCGUGUCCAGUUUCUGAGAUGCUUUUUCAUAUUUCUGAUACGGGAAAUUCAUAAGGCUUCAGAAAAUCAUAAUUCAAAGACUUGUUUCCCCCCUGGAAGCAUAAAAUCCUGAUUCAUCAAAACUAAAUGAGCUGAUCCCAGACGUCUCAUGGAUCUGAGGCAGAACUGACGGAAGAGCAAAGUUGAGGUGUGAGCGAUGCAGACAGAGUGAGAGGGAGGAAUAAUGCCAAUCAGAUCGUAAAAAUCUUGUAACCUCCUGCUGCUUCCUUCUCGCAGCUGUCAAUUUCACUUACCACCAAGAAAGAGACAGUGUAUGCGUAUGACAGGGAGCUGUUUGUACUGCCAGAUAAUUGGCCAGUAACCCCCGGGACCAUAAUGAUCAAAGAGGGACUUCUGCAGUGGUCACAAAGUUAAGGUUGUUUUCUGUUAUGAGGAGUCAAAACCCUUUCUCUGAUUCAUUCACUUGUGCUGACACCAACCACAGACCGGUGAUGGACAAUAAUUGAAUGCUCUCAGUUCAGAAAUGACACAUAGAAGCGCACAGAGAGGCCGGAGAGAGAGAGUAUAAGGGCUAUUGAUUGACUGUAUUCGCCUCCAUCUCGCUUCUGUUGUCCACUUCCUUUUUGUUCGGCUGUAGUGAUCAUCCUUCCCCUCUAUCUCUUUCUCUGCGGGCAUGUUUUGCUCAUUUAACUUCAUUACAGUGGCUGACAGCCAGAAAGUCAACAAAACAGCGCACAGCCUGGUAUGAUCACCUGCAGACCCCCGUCCCUCCUCCCACGGGCUCAUCUCGGCCCCUCCUGGGUUAUUCAGGCCCGUUUCCCUGCAGUCCAUUGCUCAAUUGCAUUGAUAACAGUCUGACAGGCCACAGCAGAAGCCAGGAAACAUUGUCCCUCCUUCUCUCCGGCAAACCCGUUCAGCAAGGUCACCGAUCCCCAACUGACAGCCAAACUGCCAGCUACAAACUGCCUCCAAAUGAAAGAAUUUCUCUGAAGUGUCGAGCAUGCCUGUCUGCCAGCCUCUUUCUGAAAGGAGGAAAGGAAGCAGGCCACCGCGGAGAAAAAGUCCAGGCAUCCUUCCAGCAGAAUUCAGUAUCAACAAAGCAACAUUUCUACCCUCAUAAAGAACCUCCCUGAGUCAACAUUUGCACAAAACUGAACGUCCGAUCCAUACGUACCCGCGGGACUAGGGUGAAUGUCAACGUUAUGGUUAUGAGUUAUUUAUAAGAUCACAUAAUACCUUAUUCAUUAAACAUGAAGUCGUCAAUCUGGAAUGAGGAAUUGAGAAACUGCAGUUCCAUAUUAAGGCCCUGACAUAAACCAUACGCUGAGUGAUUUACACCUCAGCAGGUUUACAAAUAGAUGGACUAGGGCAUGCUGGGAUUGAGGACUGCAUUUUUCGAAGGUAUUUUCAGAUGUUUUUGUUUAGCUGUAUUAAAAAUGCAUGAAAAACUUGAGGAGCGGCUUUAAGACUUGUUUCGUGACUGAGAAGUUGCCGUUUUUAAAUUUAGAGAUGCUGUUACUGCAGGUCUCACUUUUAGACUAUGGGAUGAAUUCAUAGCCGUCUGUUCAGUCAUCAAAUAUUUAUUUUAUAUUUGCUGUAAGGGUCACAAUGGAAGCAAAAUGGUAUGUUUAAUAACAAUGUUUUAUAAUGUCAUCUGAUUUAGUUAAUAUGUGCAUGCAGCACAUAACUGUAUGAAUUUGGCAGUUAGUAUUAAAGCAGUUGGUUUUGCUUCAAACUAACUAGUACUAUUUGCAGGACUGUUUCCUUGCAUGGAGCGAUCUGAGUUAGGAAAUAUG